GAAUUAUGCUUGAAGAAGGUUAAUCUUAUAAUGGCAUGCAGAGCGGAGCUGGGCAAGGCCAGAGGCUAAAUAUGGAGCCAGAAAGAUACUGCAGAAAGUGAGCAAAAAGGAUGAGUGGAUGGCCUGGGGUGGAAUCCGUGAAAAAGGGCAGAUUGUCAGUCUCAGGAAAUCAACAGGACUGAGUUCUAACUUCAGCUGGGCUACUAUGCCCUGGGGAAUCAGAAGAUUCUCCCUAACAUUGGAGUCCAAAGAAGAGGAGCCACCAUCUCCUUAACUACAAAACAACUGAGAGAAGAAAUGUCUCCCUUUAGUGCCAGUGAAGAGUUUUGCUUCUCUAGAACAACUGUUUAUUUUUGAUCUUAUGAAACGCGUGACACUUGUAACUGAUUUGCCUUCUUUUUGCUUGCUGCUAGAAAUCUCAGAACCAAAUUCGAGGUCAUUUCUGAAUGUGCUGGACUACACAGCAUGAAUUCUGUGUCCUCUCACCUCAUUCAUAGAUACAUUUUUUUAUUCCUACCCAUCUUUUCCUUUCCCCAGAUUUUCCUAUUGCUCUUUUAUCAUCUUGAGUAAAGAAGGUUAAACUAUGAAUAAAAAGUACAAUCUCAAUGACGAGUCAGGGAAAAGUAAGUUUUGGACUUCCAUUUAGAGCCAUUUAUAGGUCAGCAAUCUUUUGUCUCUGUGUCUUCUUUCUGCCCUGAACAACCAAGGCAUCCUAGUCAGUCUCUCUUCAUCUGCAUACCACUUUAAAGAGCCCAGGGGUCUUCCAAGUACAGUCACUACUAAGAAAAUGUCUUCAGUAAAUUUUUUUUUUUUUUUUUUGAGAUGGAGUCUCGCUCUGUCGCCCAGGCUGGAAUGUAGUGGCACGAUCUCAGCUCACUGCAAGCUCUGCCUCCCGGGUUCACGCCAUCCUCCUGCCUCAGCCUCCCAAGUAGCUGAGACUACAGGCACCUGCCACCAUGCCCGGCUAAUUUUUUUUGUAUUUUUAGUAGAGACGGGGUUUCACUGUAUUAGCCAGGAUGGUCUUAAUCUCCUGACCUCAUGAUCCGCCCGCCUCGGCCUCCCAAAGUGCUGGGAUUACAGGCGUGAGCCCCCGCGCCCAGCCUUCAGUAAAAUUUUAAUGCAUGUUGCUUAUCAUUCUUUGUAUUGUAAGCACCAAUCCUUAAUCUGUGCUGUGGUUUUUGUUCAGAAACAUUUCUUUAAAAAAAUUUCCCCAGACGCUCAGCCUUCAUAUUCUAAUCUUUAUUAUUCUGAACUACCUACAAAGCUAAAUAUACCUUGUCUACAUGCAGUGCUUAUGUAACAAUGGUGCUUAUUUUGUUUUACAUUGCUUCAACCUCUGACCAGAAACUUAGAGGACAGAAUGCCCUGCUUUUACAAAAAAUGUGGUGACCACAACGGUAACCUUAUCUAAUUGAGACCAUUUUAGGAAGGAGGGGAGGAGAUAUUUUUACUGCAAAGACUGAGUCAUAAGCCUUCAUUUUUUACCCUGGGUUGUGCAGAAACUUUAAACUUUCUAUAUUAUUUCAUUUCUUCCAUACCAGGACAUUUAUUUCCUAUUCAGUGACAAUCUUGAUGUCUUCAUCCUUCAAACUGCUCUCUAACAUAGUUUCAAAAUCCAAGCAUUAAACAUUAUUAAUGCUCAGGGGAUGAAUAUGUUCAUUACCUUUACUGUAGUGAUGAUUUCCUAUGGCAAAAUGUUAAAUGAUGUAAAGAUAAAAAUAAUUAUCAUAGUUAUUAAUCAUAGCAAUAAAACUGGACUACCUAAAGCACA
rnacentral:lncRNA from 1 species